UACGUAGGGUGCGAGCGUUGUCCGGAAUUACUGGGGCGUAAAGAGUUCGUAGGCGGUUUGUCGCGUCGUUCGUGAAAACUUGGGGCUUAACUCCAAGCGUGCGGGCGAUACGGGCAGACUUGAGUACUACAGGGGGAGACUGGAAUUCCUGGUGUAGCGGUGAAAUGCGCAGAUAUCAGGAGGAACACCGUGGCGAAGGCGGG
rnacentral:rRNA from 1 species